rnacentral:rRNA from 1 species
UACGGGGGGGGCAAGCGUUGUUCGGAAUUACUGGGCGUAAAGGGCUCGUAGGCGGCCAACUAAGUCGGAUGUGAAAUCCCCAGGCUUAACCUGGGAACUGCAUCCGAUACUGGAUGGCUUGAAUUCGGGAGAGGGAUGCAGAAUUCCAGGUGUAGCGGUGAAAUGCGUAGAUAUGUGGAGGAAUACCGAUGGCGAAGGCAGCCCCCUGGGAUAACACUGACGCUCAUGCACGAAAGCGUGGGGAGCAAACAGG